CAGAAAAGGUAAGAACAUCAGAACUGUUAAAUGUCAAAUGUCUGGCUCAAUGUAAAAAAUUAUCUUUCUUUUGUACUCAGACAGAGUUAACCACUUGUUACUGCCAUGCUGCUUGCCCUCCCUUGAAAUCUAUAAGCUCGUCACAGCCUAGAGUUCUGUAAAGUCAAUUCACACAGAAGCACAAUUUUGUCCUCUUCCAGACACUGUUGCCUCUAUCUAGUCAUACAAAUAGGAUUUUGCAUACUUUGCCCCUAGAUUCGUCAGUGCAUCAGAAAUACACCUAAACAGUAGUAAAAUGCACGUUACGGUUAAAUCUUAGGAUAAUUCCUUUCCUGUUCCUGAAGAGUAAAAAGUAUGUUAAAGACCAAAAUUAUUGGCAUAUAAUAAUCAGCUACAUACAAAUCACAUACAGUUCUAUCUUUUUUAAUUAAAAAAAAUCAUGUUUAAAAUGGCAAAAACCCAUCUUAUAGACUCUUUUAUAUAGCUGCAAAAAUUUAUAUCUGUACAGAUCUAACAUAACACUACUACACUCAGUAUUCAUUUUACUGAAGCAUGCAAGUUAAAGCACUUUUUCUAAUUUAUAUAGAGAUAACCAAUUAACGAGGCACAUUGUAGUAAUGACUAGGAGAAGUAGCUUUUUCUCCCCUUCCUCUGACUAUGAAUUCCUGUUGUAAUGUCCCUUUUCUAGUAAAUUUUUGAGAGGCAAUUUAGUUGGCAAUUUAGGAGGCAGCACGGUCUGAGUUUAAUUGUUGCACUGUUGUGGCUGAUCUCUAGAGGAAUGUCUUGUCUUUGCAUGGAGCUCUUAGAGAUGUGUCCAGACUUGCUUACCAAGUGGUUAGUGUAUAUUAGGAGCACAUGUUGUGUGUUCUGAACCAGCUCAAACUAGCCACAGUGAGCAACUCUGUGUCUAGCAAAUGAGAAAGAAAGUUGAUUUCUUGCCCAGCUGUUACCACUGGUGAUGUGCCAGAUUGCAGGCAGAUGUUGGUUUGUUGCCUUGUCCUCUUUCCUCCUAAAACAACAUUGGCUUUACCAUCUUAACUCAGCUGUGGGUUUUUUUGUGUGGGUUUUGGUUUAUUUGUUUUUUGGUAUGAAUUGUCAUGUUUGGUAUUGUUUUUAAUCCCCACCCCCCCCCCCCAAAAAAAAAAAAAAAACCUCAAAGCCUCCAUGGAUCAAGAUCUCAUAUUAAGGAUUUUUUUGUCCUAGGGAAAAAAAUUUUUUUAACCAAAAUCUGGAAAAUGUGAAAGCAUAUUUAGAUUUUUAUAUACUCUCUGAAAUAUGAUUUAAGAUUCUUAAGUUUGGGCCUCUUGUAAUAAUUUUGAAUGAGAUCUACCAACUCACUUGUGAGUAUAUUUUUCACAGAUAUCUUUAGGCCUUCAUUAGAAAGCUAUUUUCCCCCUGUUGGUUAUCUCAUUUCUCUAUUGCUUCAGAUUAUGAAAGAUUACAGAGGUGUCUGUUGGAAUCAUUUGCUGAGUCAUUUCCUCAAAUCAUAUUCCAUUGUAUCAGUUAACAUAUAGUUUUAAAUGUACAUAUUAUAAAUAUCUGUAACCAAAUCAUUUGAAGGCUUAAUAAAUUUUUAACAAAGUUUGUACAUUUUUUAUGAAAGUUACUAGUAAUGCUUUACCAAGUAGUGCAAUGAAUUUUUAUUUUUAAUCCCUGUGCCCAAUUUUGGAGUUGAGAGGGUUGUAGGUAAUAAAUGUAUGAUGUACACUUAAAAAAAAAAAAGAUU
rnacentral:lncRNA from 1 species